CAGGUCCCUCACAGGCUGCAGUUAAUAGCAGGAGCCUUAUCCUAUCUGGGCUCCUCUCAGUGGGCUGCAGCUUCCUUCAGGGCAUAUCUGUCUACUCCAGUUUGGUCUUUUCCACAGGCUGAGGGAGAAGUCUUGGAUCUGGGGCCUGAUUCACCUCCUCCCCAUCCUUCUUCAUUGACCUUGGAGCCUGCAGAUUAUGUGUUCCACUGUGAGAGCUGCUUGGUAACAUGUAGGCAAGUAAGCUAUAAAGAUGUUCUCCAAACAGUUUCAUAGGUAAUCAUAGUUUAUUCCACACUGUUCUUAGUUCGGAUUAAUUAAUUGCUCAUCUCUAUAAACAAAAUGUGUUGCCAUUUGAAAAUAUAUUUUGAACAGGAACACUGUAUAUGUUUAUAUGUGCAUUAUCUGCCCUUUAUUUUGUUGGUUAGUUUAAAUUAGAGAAAGGUAAAAAUGCAUGUGCUGAGGAAUAUCCUCAGUUAUUAAAUGUGUCUUUUCAGUUUGUCCCUGUCUGUUACAGUUUAAUUGCUGUUAUUUCUUCAUCUUUUAUACCUUCAGUCAGAAAGAGAGCAUGACUCAUAUAAUAUUCAUGUUCAUUUUUCUCCCCAAGACAAUGAUAUUCAAUUCAGGAAAAAAAAAAAAAAAAAAAAAAAAGUUCAUUUCUGUCAAGCAGUCUGUUAAGGUAGGCUUUGUAUCAGUAGAGUACAUGUACAUUCUUCAUCCAAAAAAAACGAAUACACAUCCUUACACUAACAGCUAGUCCAGAGCUGACAGACAAUUGUCAUUGCAUUUUGUGUACUGCAUUGAGUAACAAACAGUGAACAAAUUGAAAGUAAAUCCUGUCAUGACCUUUACAUCUAAAGUCACUUAAUCUAGGAUCGUUGCUAAGAGUAUUCUUUUUAAGAAUCUUUAUUGUAAAAAUACAUACUUUAAUCUGGUCACCACAGUGAAGAAACUGUACUGAACUUUGCUGACUUUUAGUCUCCCAGGUGCCCCAGCAUGAAGCUUUCUUAAAGUCCUAUGUGUCAAUAACUUCCUGAAAAAUGUUAGUAAAUUAAACAACUGAGCUGUGUAAUAUCAUUCUUCUCACUGUUUAUACAGGUUUUGUGUACCAAAAAGGACAGUGAUGAACCUCCAAACCCAUUAAAAAAAUAAUUCUCUCAACUUGAAGUGAUUACUAUUUGGAGUGGACUAUCUGAAUCCACACUGAAGAAUGCUUGGUGCAGAUUUUUCAGCAGGAUAAUGUUUUGACCUUAUAGCCUCAUGACUUAACUCUGUUUGGAAGGGACCUCAAGAGAUCAUUGAGUACAUCAUCCCUGACAAAGCAGUAUUUCAGAACUUGACUCACUUUGGAAGACUGCCAAUAGUGCAAACUUGGAAUGAGGAGAAGAUCCCUCACUGCAAACUUUCAACCCAUGGGUUAAUAGCCAAGAGAGGAAGAUCUCUGUUCAGAGAUUGCCCCUUCUGGAGACUUCGCUGACCUUUGGAAUGGUGAGCUGAUGGCUGUGUGGUUCUUUGAUUCUUUGCUGCCUGCCAGGUUAAUCCACAACAAGGAUUCACAUAGUUGUGGAGGACUAAGGUACUUAAAAUCAGUAAGUAAAUCACAAUGUGGUUAUUUGUGACUGAAAUUCAAAAGACUUUGUAAUGUUUUGAAAAUGACUGACAACCCCUAUAUGUGACAGCUGUUCCAGAAAAGAGACCACAAAACUCUGAAUUAAUAGUGUAUUCAUUUCUAAACCUUGAUUUAUUUUCUGCUUCUUACUCACGUGCAUUAUGUUUCAAAUAUUCAACUAAGUCUAGAAAGGAAGGAAAAAAACCAACAGAUUUGUAAUAGCAAAGCAGAAAAUGUAGUGCAGUACUAGUACCAACAUCAAACAACAAUAUCCUAUUAAAAUACUUCAGAGUAUUGAGUGAAUCUAUUGGUUUUUCAGUGUGUACUACAGAAGGAACCUAUUUGGGGUACAAAAUGAGUUCAGUCUUAGACUUUGCGUACUUAGUAAAGGUUGUAUUUUUGCAGUGUACGGCAUACUAUGUCAGAACAGAACUGGAGGAGUUAUUAAUGAUAUUAACACAGCGUACACAAUAAUUCUUGUUUCAGUUUUGAAAUCUGAAGUUAUUAUAAUUAGCUUAUUAGGACUUCAUAAAGAUUCAGCUGGACUGUAAUCUUACCAAAAUAUACCUUAUCUGCCUUGCAUAUUCUUUCAGUAUGUCUAUGGACCACAGUUAUACAGAAAAUUCAUCACUGAUAUAUUACUAGAGGUUCAUGAGGUUUGUUUCUAUGAGGUGCUGACCUACUUUUCCUUUAUCUCUUAAGGGAUUAAUUUAUUUUUUUAAUCAAACAUUGCUGGAAUGAGCCAUGUAGUCAAAAAUAAAAAAAAUAAAAUGCUGAGUGACAGUUCUCUAGUAUUAAAAUUCUGUAGGCCAUCUCUUUGUUGGUCACAUUUACGGUUUUCAGACAGAAAAUGUUAUCACUUUGUCAGCUUCAGAUGUUGUCAGUUAGUUUGUCAAAUGGCUGAGAUGACAGGCUGUUAUUUUCCACUUGUAAGCAGAGAAGAUGUUGCAAAUACUUCUUCUGUAUCCAGUCAAUACUUUUGCAGUUCUUAAUUAGACUUCUGCAGUGUGCUCACCCUGAGACCAUAUCUACAAGCAAACUACAGAAAAAUGCCAUUAAUUCAUGGUAAGUGAAAUCAAUCUUCCUCAAGCACUAAGGUCACUGACUGAACUGCACAGGGGUCUUUCAUCCUCAAGUUCAUUUUGAAGUUAGUUGAACUGCUAACCUACAUUUCUGGAUAACAGACCCAGUUUAUAAAACAUUUACAGGCAACUUACAUGAUAAAAACAAGAAACCAAAAAACUGGCAAGAUUUCCUUAGGCAUCUGAAAAACACUGCUUGCUUAAAGGAACUAUUAGAAGUGCCCUCAAAAAUUAAUGAGUUAUCAUGUAGCCAGCGAAUUGUGAAUCAUCAAAACAGAGUCUCAGCUUGCUUAUGUUUUUGACUGGAAGUUGGAGACAAUCUAAUAGUUCAGUACUUCCCACUUCAAUCUAUAGUCCAAUGUGUUCUACUACUGUUUCUCUGUACAUUGCAGUUCUUUUGCAAUCCUCUUAC
ensembl:lncRNA